CCCUCUUUAGUGGAAGCACAGAGUCUUAACUGCUGGACCACUAAGGAAUUCCCUAAAAUUUUGUUAUUUUAAUUCUCAGCUCUUUUUGUUCUCUGUUCAGUCUUUAAUUAAGGUACCUUUUCAAGGACAUAGUUGAGUUCAGCACCAUCAAUCAACUGGAUUUAAUUGACAUCUACAGACUACUUCAGCAACACUAAAAUACACAUUUUUUUGGAGCUCACAUAGAACAUUCACCAAGACAGAUCAUAUUCUGUACCAUAAAAAACACUUUAACAGAUUUAAUAGAAAUCAUGAUGUGUCUGCUCUCACACCAAAAUGUAAAUCAGUAACAGAAAAAUAAUUGGAAACUUUCAAAAUACUUGGAGAUUAAAGAGUAGUCUUGUAAAUAAUACAUGGGUCAAAGAAGAAAUCUCAAAUUUUAAAAUAUUUUGGACUAAAUUAAAACGAAAACAACUUAUCAAAAUUUGUGGGUGCAGUGAAAGCAUUGCUUAGAAGGAAGUUUAUAGCACUGAAUGGAUAUAUUACAAAAGAAAAAAGACCUAAAAUCAAUAAUCUACAUUUUCACCAUGGGAAACUAGGAAAAGAAGAGCAAAAGUAAAUCCAAAAUAAAAGAAAAAGAGCAGAAAUCAAUGAGAUCAAAAAUAGGAAAUCAACAGAGAAAAAUCAAUGAAAACCAAAAGCUGGUUCUUUAAAAUCUUAAUAGAAUCAACAAGAGAAACUGCCUAUUUCCAAGUCUAGUACUGGGUAGAAGAAGGGGGGAAAAAAAAUCUCUCCUGAUAAUUUUUAACCACAUGCCUGCCUGAAUAAGUGUGCAACCUGAAUUGACAAUACCUGGGUGAUCCAAAACACCCCUAGUUGAGAAUUUAAAGUGCCGGGUUGGUUUGUCAUCAGGCAACUGAUAAACAUAUUUCCUCUGUGGAGGAAUUUACUUUUAACUCAAUCUUAAAAAAUCCCCAUUGAUAAAAUUCUAAAAAGUAUGAAGUCACAGUCAAAACUCAUGAAUUGCAAGAAAAUAUGGCAUUGUGAGCAAGAGCAAACGAUAAACCUGCAUAAUCGGGCCUCAAAAACUUAAGGUACUGGAAUUACCAAAUAAUAUAUAAUAUGUGUUUUCAAUAUAUUUAAAGAAAAAGGAAACUUAAAAUGUAAGACAGCAAGAGUAUAUAAAAUAAGCAAGUCUGAAAAGGAACGAAACAAUUUCUAGAAAUGAUAAAACAUUUGACAUGUAAAACUCAACAGAUAAGUGGGUACAACCACUAAAAACAGAAACAAAAAAAACUUUAAUAUGUUGGUUUAGCAGCUGAAGAAAGACUUAACUGGGAGAUAGAUGUGUAGAAAUUAUCCAGAAUGCCAGAAACAGAGAAAAUAUGAGCUAUAUAAGAGACAAGGAGGAUGGAGUAGGAAGGUCUAAUCAGAGUUCCAGUGGGGACAGAGAAAGAUGACUGAGAAUUGAAGAUAAGACAGUUUUCUAGAACAGGUGAAAGACAUCAAUUCAUAGAAUCAGGAAGCCUCAGGAAUCCCAUUAAGAUAAGUACAAAGAAAACCACACUGGGACACAUCACAGUAAAGCUGCAGAAUACCAAAGGUAGAUAAACCUUUAAAAUGGUUGGAGACAAAAAGUAUCUUCAAAGGAACAGUAAAGACAACAGCAACAAAGUGGAGACCAUAAAGACAGAAGUUUUCAAUAUACUGACAGGAAAUAACUAUUAGCCUGGAAUUCUACAUCCAGCAAAAAAUAACUUUAAAUAAAAAAUUAAAAAACUAGAAAAGACAGGUGAUGGCACAAAAUAAAGGGGUAGAAAUUUAUCCAAUAACUUAAUUAAAAUAGAAAAAGUGACUACAAAUAGAAAACAUUUAAAAAUCCAUAUUCAGGCCAUUCUUAGGAGGCAGAGAAUGAAAGUAAAAGGAUUAAAAACUCAGCAUAUUUGGAAUAGAAGGGAAAUUUCUCAGCCUAAUAAAAGACUUUUUUUUUUCUCUUUUUUACAAAAACCAGCAAAUAUAUUUUAUGGUGAAAUAUUGAAAUUAUUCCCUAUAAUGUCAGAAACAAGUCAAGGGUGCCCACACUUUCUUCCACCCAUACAGAGAGGCAAGAAAAAUAAAAGAUAUAAAAAGUAAAAUGGAAGAUUUUUUUUAAUCAUAGAGAUGAUAAUACAUACAGAAAACUCAGAAUUUUCAAGUAAAUCAUAAAUUUUAGGUUUCUUGGACAUAAAAAAUUAUUUUCAUAAGCCAUGAAUAACAGCAGCACAACAUCAAGUACUUAAGUUUAACCAAUUUAUCAGAAAAAGUAACUUUAUUGAAAACAUAAUGAAGAGAUACACCAUGUUCACAACUGGAAACUUCAAUCUCAUGUUGAUGUUGAUUUUCCCCAAACUGAUAAUACAGAUUCAGUUGGGUUCAAUCACAGUUUCAAAGGGGGUUUUAUUGAUAGAACGUAACAAGCUGAUUCUAAAAUGGAUAUGGAAGAGCAAGAGCCAAGCAUAGAUCUUAGGGGAACACACACAGGUAGAUAAAAUGAUCAGUGGGACAAAAGAGAAAAAUAAAUUGUAUAUUCGAUGGAUUACUAUACAGCAAGCAAAAGGAAUGCCUUACAGCUACACAUAUUAAUUUGGGUAAAUCUCAGAAACAUGGUAUUAAAAGAAAAAGCAAAUUGCAGUAAAAUAAACAUGGUGUAGCUUCAUUUAUAUAAAAGUCAGAAACAUGCAAAACAUCUAUAAUAAAUCACAGAGCAAGCAAGGGAAUGAUUCAGACAGCAGUGUUUCUUUCCUCUACCAGGGAGAGGUAUAGCAGGGACUAGAAAGGAAAGGGUAUCCACGUGCACUGGAAGCGCGGAGUCUUAACCGCUGGACUGCCAGGGAAGUCUAGGUAUCCAUUUCUGAAGUGGGGGUGGGGAGGGUGUUCUUUAAAUAUUUCCUUGCAUCUCUUCACUGUUUAAUUCAAAACCAAACAAAACAAGAAAAGAUUCUAGAGGAUGGGGGUAAAGCAGAGAAGGAAACGGGAAGUCUGCCAGAGCUUACGUACAAAGAGACAGCUACAGCAAGUUCCUAAUAUACAGUUAAGUAGUAAUAGUGCAUGCUGUUUAAAAAAGCAAAGUCCUAGCAGCUCAAACCUUCACGGGCGUGGGCAGAGCCUUGGGCUUCUCUGAGGGUUCUUGGAAGGCAACCUGCCAUGUCAUUGGAGGGCUACCCCCUGCCUCAGCAGCAUUUGUAGGUUUUAACUCAACCCCACUUUUGGUCCAGCCCCUCACCCCCACCCUCCCCAGUUCCCCCAAGACACAAAAGCCCACACCUCCACCGCAGUGGGGUAGCUGCUUGGCUGCAAGGGGUCAGCUGGGUCCUGGGGGGAGGGACAGUCUAGCUGCUCCUCACAGAGACCUUAAAUCAGUCCCUCUUGUCAGCCCCAAACCUCGCCUUCCAUGGUGCUGGUGGAACUCCAGAGCCUCUGCACGGCUUGGGGUCAGGGGUUGGGGGUUUGGUGGCCUCUUGGCCCCUCCUUCGGGGAACACUUAAUUGCAGCGUCUGGUUCUCUAGGAGAGUAAAUGAGCCUCUAUCCAUUUUUCAUCUCUCAAGAUGCUGUCAGGUUCUUUGGUCUACUGCUGUCUCCCUAUUUUCUCUUUGUAAAUUUAUAUCAUUUUUCAUUUCUUUACUAUCAUUUCAGACUUUAAGAGGAAACAAGUAAACUCACAUGGCUAAACUUGCCACAUGUAA